GACUCUCCUUCUCGGGGUCACGACCUCCUACAGGCUCCUCCCCCACCCCUUUCCACAGACCUGUGUGACCCAAGUGAGCUGCGCCACUCAAGAAGCCAUUGUCUUCCACACUCCCACAGUACUUGCCAACCCUGGUCCUCCCCCUUUGUCCAUCCCUUUCUCGUGCCCCAUAGGAGUCUAGGAAGCUUGCAUGGGGCUCUGUGGAGUUGUAGGUCCAGAGGUUUUUGCUGUUUUGCUCGAGACCUGGUUAUGGUUGUGGGAUUUUUUUUUUCUGUCAGCUGCCUGUUAUAUCAAUCACGGAGUCGGGAUCUAUUUAUAGGUUGGGAGUACUGUGUCCUUAGUCACAAAGAGACACAGACAGGGGACUGUCAGCUGGUGUCGGAGGAGCCAGGCAACGAGUCAUCAGCCACUGAAACACCUGAGGGUAACCUUUCCUCACAGCCCCGUUCUCCAGCCAGCCCAACCAUGCAAAAACAUGUCUUCUAGUGGCACGUCUCUCUUCUGUGGAUUGAAGACAUCAAGAGCUAUGAAGGAAUCAAGACACCAUAGAACUCCAUUCUCUAGUCCACCCUUUGGUAUUGGGAGCAAGGAAGGACUCUCUCUCUUCAUACUGGAAUUGAUAAGUUAGCCAGUACCCACCCACAGGAUGAAAGGAAAUGUGCACCGGUUGGUGUUGGAAGGAACAGGAAAAUAAAAACCACCCGUUUGUGCUUGAAUAGCCUUUCAAGUUGGACAAGGGAAGGACAUGAACUCCUGAGCUUGCUUAUGUAAUCCUAGGACCUACCCUAGCAUCAGGAGAGGCCUCCCCAUUUCUUGGGUAUCUGUGCAGAAAGUUGUGAGAGCAUCCAUUCGGCU
rnacentral:sRNA from 1 species